rfam:Pelobacter propionicus DSM 2379, complete genome.
UCUAUGAAAAGGCAAACUCAGGGCAACCUGGGGACGCAAAGCCACGGGUCCGCAGCAGCGGACAGCCGGGACAUCAAG